rnacentral:lncRNA from 1 species
AUGACCCUGAUAUCACAGUUGCCUCCAUCAGAAGAGACCCUAACCCUAGGGCUGUUGGAACAAGAGGAUCAAGGGAACACAUUUCAGAUUCCUGUCUCCUAUGUUCUCUGGAGGCCCAGGAGGACAUCUCAUCGAGUUGUCUCAUCAGCUGGACUCUCAUGGCUCUGGACCCAGAGUUUUAAAGACCAGGAUAUAGAGCAUAUCUCCCUGAGACUUACUUCAGUUAAACAGGAAAAUCCUCAGGGAGCUGCAGCCCUGGGAAAUAAUUGAUGUUAUGACUCAGAAUUUAUCAUAGAUCUAUAAUUUUUGAACAGUAGGAAAGUUCUUUUCAGGUUGUAUUCAGCCUUAAAAGUUGCUCUUUGCUGGCCAGUGAAGGAGGAGGUUUCAAAACCUUUCACAGACUGCAAAGUUCAGAGAGAGUUGAAGUUCAGAGAGAUUGAGAAUUUUUUUUGCAAUUAAUAUAAAAAUUUCAGAGAUUAAGGAAAUGACCAAUUUGCAACAGAUUGAUAUCUGAGUGAAAAUACAAGAGGACUGGCAAAAGAUAGAAAAUCAGCAUGGCAAUCUCCAAGAAAGAACACGGACAGAGAUAUUUUACUGUUUCUUAGGAGGAAGGGAUUGGAUUUAACAUCAAAAUCACACCGUGUAUUUUAUGUUGAAAGGUCCAGAACUGGAUCCCCGGUAGGAGCUUAUGUUCUAGAUAAACUGAAACUUUUGGAAUGCCUAGUGGACCACGGGCAAACUUCAAGCUGUCAUUCACAUGGAAGAUCAAGGACCCUCAUGGCAUGGAAAGUUGUUUUCAGGAGGACCACUAGACCCUGGAUCUGAAAAUCCCUAAAUCAGAGGAAAACAAAACACACUCUUAGCACCCUCCUCCUAUGUGGCCCAGGCAUCAUACAAGAUGGGGCAAAAUUCCCAAGCAAUACAGAAACGUUGAGGUCAGAGCUCACUCAGGCAUAAAAAUUCAAUGGCUAAUGCCAGAUGGGCUGCCAAACCGGUCCUGGCUGGACCAGUUCCAUCCAUAGGGAGGGAAAGCUGUGAGACAAAGAGCAAAUGAUAAUAACAAUAAUAAUAAGGAAACACAGGAACAAACGAAAAAAAGUCUAACGGCCUAAGAUAGCACAGUUGUGAAGACUUCAAGAAUACUUUGGAGGAGGGGUACCUGGCUGGCUUGGUCGGAAGAGCAUGUGACUCUUGAUCUUGGGGUGGUGAGUUUGAGCUCCACGUUGGAUGUAGAGAUUACUUAAUAAAUAAAUAAAUAUAUAUAUAUAUAUUAAAAAACAACACUUUGGAAAGAAUACCUUCCCUUUCACUUCAGAAAGAGAAGUUUGCUAUGGAAAAGAAGACAGUGAUGACCCAUUGCAGAUCAAGAGAGAAUUUGUAACAAAGCCCCCAGUAGGGGAAAAUGAGGCCCCAUGGGCUCCGCAGGGGACUUCUAUGAUGGUGAAGGGGGGGACUUCUUCCUCUGGCCUGCAAUAUGAUGGGCAGUCACAGGGAACAUGCUGGGUCCUUCACAGCCACUUGUGUGGCAUGCUGUAGGUCUGCCCUGGGAUCAAAGAGGCAAUUGGCAAGGGGUGAAGAUCCCAGAGCUCUAUCUGGGGACCAGCUAGGGAGUUACUCUUAUUUCUCCUAGAAAGACUGAACAGUGGUGUGGUCUGGGCAAACACCUUUUCAGCUAGGGCUUUGCUUACUCUCAAAUGGCAUAUUCUGUUUACACUCAUAAAUUAUAUAAAAUAAUUUAUUCAUGUACAUCUUUGCUCGAUGUAUCCAAUUGAGCAUUUCUGUGAGCUUUCUAGUGCCACAUUCAAAAGGGAGCGUCGGGAAGAUAAAGUAGAAUCACCUUUAGGAAGGCAAUUUAACAAUAUGCAACUCAUGAAUAUUAAAGGAUUUUUACUCUUUGUCGGGUAAUUCCAGUUUUGGGAAACAUCCUAAAGAAAUGAUACUAAAUGCAGAGAUAAAUGCACAAAGAUGUUUAUUAUCAUGUUCCUUACAAAAGUCAAAAACUUCUAUCAGUCUAAAUGCUUGAAAAUUGCAGAUUGGUGAAGUGAAUUAUGAAAAUCCACAUUAUGAAUGCAAUAGAAUUAUUAAAACGAUGGUGGUAAAGAGGUUUUUGUAUCAUUAGAAUAUGUCUAUGAUAUAAUUUUAAGAAGGAAAAAACAAGCUAGUGAGUUUUAACAUAUCAUAUAAAUUCUCAACUAUAUAAAUAAUAUGCAUUAUGUAUAGGAAUAAGAAAUAGAUGAUUGGGGCACCUGGGUGGCUCAGUUGGUUAAGCGUCUGCUUUUACCUCAGGUCAUGAUCUCAGGGUGCUGGGAUAGAGCCCUGCAUCAGGGUCCCUGCUCAGCAAGAAGCUUGCUUCUCCUUCUCUGCUCCCCUUGCUUGUAUGUUCUCUCUCUGUCAAGUAAAUAAAUAAAAUCUUUUAAACAAAGAAAGAAAAAGAUGGUCA